rnacentral:rRNA from 1 species
UACGAAGGGGGCUAGCGUUGUUCGGAUUUACUGGGCGUAAAGCGCACGUAGGCGGAUCGAUCAGUCAGGGGUGAAAUCCCAGAGCUCAACUCUGGAACUGCCUUUGAUACUGUCGAUCUGGAGUAUGGAAGAGGUGAGUGGAAUUCCGAGUGUAGAGGUGAAAUUCGUAGAUAUUAGGAGGAACACCAGUGGCGAAGGCGGCUCACUGGUCCAUUACUGACGCUGAGGUGCGAAAGCGUGGGGAGCAAACAGG